ensembl:lncRNA
AGGACAGGGGCUGGCACAGAUGGCUCACUCGGUGUCCCUGGGCUCCUAGCGACAGGAUGCAGAUUCGGGGCUGCCUGACGCCAAGAACUGGGCUUUCUCUCCCUCACCACACCACCGCUUGAGAAAGAACCCUGAGCACUGAAGCUUUUGAAAUACAAUGGUGGAGAAGACUCUUGAGAAUCCCUUGGACAGGAGGAAGAUCAAACCAGUGAAUCCUAAAAGAAAUCAAUCCUGAAUAUUCACUGUAAUGACUGAUGCUGAAACUCCAAUACUUUGGCCACAUGAUGUGAAGAGCCAACUCAUUGGAAAAAACCCCGAAUCUGGGAAAGAUUGAGGGCAGGAGGAGAAGGGGGCAAGAGAGGAUGAGAUGAUUGGAUGGCAUCACUGACUCAAUGGACAUGAAUUUUAACAAACUCUGGGAGAUAGUGAAGGACAGGGAAGCCUGGCGUGCUGCAGUCUGUGGGGUUGUAAGAGUUGGACAUGACUGAGGGACUAAACGGCAACAAACUCUUAUAUAGCUCAAAGGGCCUGGGAUCCUUUAACACAGAGAGAACAUUCCCCACACAUCAUUCAGAACAGCUUAAAAUGCCGGAAAUCAGUAGUUACCCAUUGCUGAGUGUGAUUCUUAUGUGUGUUUAGUUUUACUAGCCACCAUCCUGGGUCAGUAGGCACUUUAAAAUUUGUUGGUUUGUAGACAAAGCAAAUAAAACUCAUCUGUUUAUAACUGUUUUGAGAAUGAGAACUGGUGUAAGAUUUCCACUGGCAAAGUGUUUUAGAAGCCAGGUUGGGCCCUCUGUGGCUUUUCAUGGACUAUUUGUUGCCACAGACAGUUCACCUUAUGAUGAGCUGGGCCAAUACCCUCAAGAAGAAAAAGCAUGGACACCGUCCCCUUCUUUCUUCUGUUUCCUCCCCCUCUCCAUAAGAUGAAAGUUUUGGACUAUACCCUACGUGCCUACAAGGGCUGUGCUUGCCCAACUUCAAGACGGAAGAGAGGGCCCAGAGUCAGCAACAGAGAUAUCAGUGGUCUAACUGAUGGGUUGCUCUUCAGCUCUGAAGAUGAUAAUGAAGAUAAAAUAAUAAUUCAUAUUUAUCACAUACCUACCAUGUGCCAAACCAUUAUAUUGUAAUUAUACUGUUUGCAAUCUAUAAUAAUCCUUUGACCACCUAACCUGCCUCUUGAGAAAUCUGUAUGCAGCUCAGGAAGCAACAGUUAGAACUGGACAUGGAACAGCAGACUGGUUCCAAAUAGGAAAAGGAGUACGUCAAGACUGUAUAUUGUCACCCUGCU